ACACACCCCUAUUGGGAUAUUGGCAAGUUGUCAUGACUACAGGGAUGUUCUGCUGAUGAAGUCUCGCUUAACGUUGUCCAAUCACAUCGUGAAACUACCACCGCAGCGUGAACAGCUAAGGACGCACCUAUUCCGGUUGCACAAUUCCAAGAAAGGACAGGCGAAAUCCGUGACCGCCAACGGAAAACUGGCAAUUUAUGGGAUGUUGUCAAUGGAAUGCCAUGGUACGACAAAACGUAAUCAGCGGGGGUCGUGGAUCCAGGGGCUGCCAGGGUACAGAGCAAGGUGGUGGCAGCCGACCAUGAGAGCCAGCUGGCGACAAGGCGGCUCAGCUGGCAAUGCUCAAAGCUCCCAAGAGGGAACGAGAUGUUUGAAGGGGACGCUCCACGAUGCUGGAGGAUGACAAGGAACAGCUGGGGAAGAGGAGGUCUGACCGAAGACUGUGGACUACACUCAAGACGGACAUCAAAUGAUGUUGACGCUCCUCCCAUUUCCCAUUUGUUCAAGAUGAAUAGUUGGCCUAGGAUCAAAGGCAGAUCCCAAUGGGCCACUGUGGCCACCACAAAAGGGUGUUGGGUGCUGGCGUGGGGCCAGGUGCUGCACAUGGUCACACAACCAGGGACAAGACAUGCAGAUGGGGCCAACAGAGCCCUUGUCAUCUCCACCCCCCACACGCCUGUAUACAAGAGGGGCCGGAUUGGGCCUCCCAAAGACACCGCCAGCCUGCACAGUGACAGUAAAGGAAGCUGAGGUACAAGUUGAUGUCUCCAAUGACA